rnacentral:rRNA from 1 species
UACGAAGGGGACUAGCGUUGUUCGGAAUCACUGGGCGUAAAGCGCACGUAGGCGGAUAUGUCAGUCAGGGGUGAAAUCCCGGGGCUCAACCUCGGAACUGCCUUUGAUACAGCAUAUCUUGAGUCCGAUAGAGGUGGGUGGAAUUCCUAGUGUAGAGGUGAAAUUCGUAGAUAUUAGGAAGAACACCAGUGGCGAAGGCGGCUCACUGGCCCGGUACUGACGCUGAGGCACGAAAGCGUGGGGAGCAAACAGG